AACAGAUUAGGGAGAUUUGCGUAUUUGGACUCUUGAAGGUUGGGACCGAGCCAUUCUUAUUAUGAGCAAGCACAAGGACUGGCUAAAGAGUUGGUGGAAUAUUCAAGAUAGGAAGAUAAGCUAGAAUUGGACAACAUCUAACUUUCAUAUCCAUACCAUCCCAAAAUUACCUCACUGGCUAGCAGGUUUUUCAAUGCAAGCUACGAAGCACAAGCUGGUGGACACUGUAGUGAUUGAUGGGAUUCAGUUGUAGUCACCCACAUUAGUGAUUUUGGUAUAAUAAAAGUACUCAAUAUCCUACAAUGUAAAAGGACUGCUGGCUGAUAUGUUGUGCA